rnacentral:rRNA from 1 species
CCUACGGGAGGCAGCAGUGGGGAAUAUUGCACAAUGGGGGAAACCCUGAUGCAGCCACGCCGCGUGAGUGAAGAAGGAUCUCGGUACGUAAAGCUCUAUUAGCAGGGAAGAAAAUGACGGUACCUGACUACGAAGCCCCGGCUAACUACGAGACAGAAGCCGCGGUAACACGUAGGGGGCCAGCGUUAUCCGGAUUUACUGGGUGUAAAGGGGGCGUAGGCGGCAGCGCAAGUCUGAAGUGAAAUCCCAUGGCUUAAACAUGGAACUGCUGUGGAAACUGUGCAGCUGGAGUGCAGGAGAGGUAAGCGGAAUGCCUGGUGUAGCGGUGAAAUGCGUAGAUAUUAGGAGGAACACCAGUGGCGAAGGCAGCUUACUGGACUGUAACUGACGUUGAGGCACGAAAGCGUGGGGAGCAAACAGGAUUAGAUACCCGUGUAGUC